rnacentral:rRNA from 1 species
CAUAGGUUAAUGAGGCGAACCGGGGGAACUGAAACAUCUAAGUACCCCGAGGAAAAGAAAUCAACCGAGAUUCCCCCAGUAGCGGCGAGCGAACGGGGAGCAGCCCAGAGCCUGAAUCAGUAUGUGUGUUAGUGGAAGCGUCUGGAAAGGCGCGCGAUACAGGGUGACAGCCCCGUACACAAAAAUGCACAUGCUGUGAGCUCGAUGAGUAGGGCGGGACACGUGGUAUCCUGUCUGAAUAUGGGGGGACCAUCCUCCAAGGCUAAAUACUCCUGACUGACCGAUAGUGAACCAGUACCGUGAGGGAAAGGCGAAAAGAACCCCGGCGAGGGGAGUGAAAAAGAACCUGAAACCGUGUACGUACAAGCAGUGGGAGCACGCUUAGGCGUGUGACUGCGUACCUUUUGUAUAAUGGGUCAGCGACUUAUAUUCUGUAGCAAGGUUAACCGAAUAGGGGAGCCGAAGGGAAACCGAGUCUUAACUGGGCGUUAAGUUGCAGGGUAUAGACCCGAAACCCGGUGAUCUAGCCAUGGGCAGGUUGAAGGUUGGGUAACACUAACUGGAGGACCGAACCGACUAAUGUUGAAAAAUUAGCGGAUGACUUGUGGCUGGGGGUGAAAGGCCAAUCAAACCGGGAGAUAGCUGGUUCUCCCCGAAAGCUAUUUAGGUAGCGCCUCGUGAAUUCAUCUCCGGGGGUAGAGCACUGUUUCGGCAAGGGGGUCAUCCCGACUUACCAACCCGAUGCAAACUGCGAAUACCGGAGAAUGUUAUCACGGGAGACACACGGCGGGUGCUAACGUCCGUCGUGAAGAGGGAAACAACCCAGACCGCCAGCUAAGGUCCCAAAGUCAUGGUUAAGUGGGAAACGAUGUGGGAAGGCCCAGACAGCCAGGAUGUUGGCUUAGAAGCAGCCAUCAUUUAAAGAAAGCGUAAUAGCUCACUGGUCGAGUCGGCCUGCGCGGAAGAUGUAACGGGGCUAAACCAUGCACCGAAGCUGCGGCAGCGACGCUGAUGCGUUGUUGGGUAGGGGAGCGUUC